rnacentral:rRNA from 1 species
GACGAACGCUGGCGGCGUGCUUAACACAUGCAAGUCGAACGCUGAAGCUCAGCUUUUGUUGGGUGGAUGAGUGGCGAACGGGUGAGUAACACGUGAGUAACCUGCCCCCUUCUCUGGGAUAACGCCCGGAAACGGGUGCUAAUACUGGAUAUUCACUGGUCUUCGCAUGGGGGUUGGUGGAGAGGGUUUUUCUGGUGGGGGAUGGGCUCGCGGCCUAUCAGCUUGUUGGUGGGGUGAUGGCCUACCAAGGCUUUGACGGGUAGCCGGCCUGAGAGGGUGACCGGUCACAUUGGGACUGAGAUACGGCCCAGACCCCUACGGGAGGCAGCAGUGGGGAAUAAUGCACAAUGGGCGCAAGCCUGAUGCAGCGACGCCGCGUGAGGGAUGGAGGCCUUCGGGUUGUGAACCUCUUUCGCUCAUGGUCAAGCCGCAACAAUGGUUGUGGUGAGGGUAGUGGGUAAAGAAGCGCCGGCUAACUACGUG